UAAAAUGGACACUUCUGCAAAGUUCGUAUCCGAUGAGGAUUCUUUCUGGUACCAAGUACACUUUGAUGAUAUAUAUUGUGUAGAUCAAGUGAUGAGUUUGGAUUCAGAUAUCUACACUCAUACUUGGACCUGCAUGGAAAGUGGUUGUGGUGAUCCGUGUGAGGGAAGAAUGUGUAAAUAUGUAGAUGUCACUGUUUUGAACGAAAGCAAUGUAGACGAAAGCAGCAUUGAAGAUGAAAAUAAAAUCAUGCGUGGUAAUUGUGGAAAUGGAGUUAAACUUUCGAUAACCAAAGAAAAUGCCAAAAAGUUGGGGUACGAUUUUUUCGAGGUUUCGGAGCUUGCUGUAUUUGGACGUCAGUUAGUUCAGAGACAAAAGGUGAACGGUGAAAUAGAGAACCUAUCCGCUGCACAAACCAUCACCCUUAAAGAUCUUAGUUCUCAUCUUGGGAUCAAGGCAAAACGGAGGUACAUAUCUGAUGAGAUUUCCUCCUGGACCCUAAAGAUAACCUUUCAAAACGUUCACUGUGUUGAUGAAGUACAAAGUUUCGACGAAAAUACCAAAACUCACAGCUGGAACUGCUUUAUAGAUGGUUGCAACACGCUGUGCCAGGGUCUCCUUUGUGAAAACACCGUAGUUUCAGUGACAAACAGGAAGCGUGACCCAGUGUGGCCAGCUAACUGCGGGGAUGGAGUCCAAAUAUUUAUAUCUCAAUCUGACUUGGACAACAAGGUUUUGGAUUUUGAUUUUUUCGGGAUCUCGGAAAUUGUGGUUAUCGGCCGACAACUAGACACAAUUCAAAAUUCCGAUUUUGAAUUUUCUUGAGAUUGAUUUUAGAAUAUUUUACAUGUGGAUAAGAAUUGAAAUUGAAUGCGCAAAAUAUUUCAUUAUUUGAAUUCGAGCGAAAAUUGUUACUCUGAUUUCCAGUCGGUAUUUUGGUGAAAAUAACACUGAUGAUACUGAUGGGUAUAUUAUUUUGUAAUACCCUAAUUUUUUACAUUGAAAUUUAAAAA